rnacentral:rRNA from 1 species
GAUGAACGCUGGCGGCGUGCCUAAUACAUGCAAGUCGAGCGAACGGACGAGAAGCUUGCUUCUCUGAUGUUAGCGGCGGACGGGUGAGUAACACGUGGAUAACCUACCUAUAAGACUGGGAUAACUUCGGGAAACCGGAGCUAAUACCGGAUAAUAUUUUGAACCGCAUGGUUCAAAAGUGAAAGACGGUCUUGCUGUCACUUAUAGAUGGAUCCGCGCUGCAUUAGCUAGUUGGUAAGGUAACGGCUUACCAAGGCAACGAUGCAUAGCCGACCUGAGAGGGUGAUCGGCCACACUGGAACUGAGACACGGUCCAGACUCCUACGGGAGGCGGCAGUAGGGAAUCUUCCGCAAUGGGCGAAAGCCUGACGGAGCAACGCCGCGUGAGUGAUGAAGGUCUUCGGAUCGUAAAACUCUGUUAUUAGGGAAGAACAUAUGUGUAAGUAACUGUGCACAUCUUGACGGUACCUAAUCAGAAAGCCACGGCUAACUACGUGCCAGCAGCCGCGGUAAUACGUAGGUGGCAAGCGUUAUCCGGAAUUAUUGGGCGUAAAGCGCGCGUAGGCGGUUUUUUAAGUCUGAUGUGAAAGCCCACGGCUCAACCGUGGAGGGUCAUUGGAAACUGGAAAACUUGAGUGCAGAAGAGGAAAGUGGAAUUCCAUGUGUAGCGGUGAAAUGCGCAGAGAUAUGGAGGAACACCAGUGGCGAAGGCGACUUUCUGGUCUGUAACUGACGCUGAUGUGCGAAAGCGUGGGGAUCAAACAGGAUUAGAUACCCUGGUAGUCCACGCCGUAAACGAUGAGUGCUAAGUGUUAGGGGGUUUCCGCCCCUUAGUGCUGCAGCUAACGCAUUAAGCACUCCGCCUGGGGAGUACGACCGCAAGGUUGAAACUCAAAGGAAUUGACGGGGACCCGCACAAGCGGUGGAGCAUGUGGUUUAAUUCGAAGCAACGCGAAGAACCUUACCAAAUCCUGACAUCCUUUGACAACUCUAGAGAUAGAGCCUUCCCCUUCGGGGGACAAAGUGACAGGUGGUGCAUGGUUGUCGUCAGCUCGUGUCGUGAGAUGUUGGGUUAAGUCCCGCAACGAGCGCAACCCUUAAGCUUAGUUGCCAUCAUUAAGUUGGGCACUCUAAGUUGACUGCCGGUGACAAACCGGAGGAAGGUGGGGAUGACGUCAAAUCAUCAUGCCCCUUAUGAUUUGGGCUACACACGUGCUACAAUGGACAAUACAAAGGGCAGCGAAACCGCGAGGUCAAGCAAAUCCCAUAAAGUUGUUCUCAGUUCGGAUUGUAGUCUGCAACUCGACUACAUGAAGCUGGAAUCGCUAGUAAUCGUAGAUCAGCAUGCUACGGUGAAUACGUUCCCGGGUCU